UGUUGGACGUAUGAAGUGUAAACCUCCUCUACCUGAAAGAAGCUGAUAGAAAAGCAGGGGAGGGACCCACACACAAAGGAAACAAUGAGGCUAUUCUGCUCUGGACCAAAAAGGUCACCAUAGACCUCACCUGUUCAUCUCAAAAGCCAGUCUUCCAUGAAGUGGGAUGGACCCUCUUUGGGUUCUUUGGAUUCAACACCUUCACUUGACCAAACAAGACCAUUCUUAGAGUGGAGUGGAAGUCUUCUCUAGGAGCUUCCUCCAACAGAUAUUCUCCAAUUUACCCUGGAGGCAGCCGGAUGGCAGCUGUUGGAAUGGAGGCUCAUCACUGGAACUUGGGUUGUGGACUUGAGAUGUGGAUUGACAAAAAAACUUUUCUGUCAAUGUGUAGAAAGGAGGGAUAAAAUGGGAAGCCUCUCCUGUGUCUACUGCAAGAAUGUUGGUUAUGAUAAAGCGUCCAUACUUGUGAGAACCCUUGGGAGAGAUUCUUAUCUUAGAACAGUUACAAGAUGAAUUAGAGCCAAGGCUCUGAAUUUAGAUGUUCUGUAUUCCAAUCCUUCUUCCACCCUCUGUUUAACCACGGGCAAGUUGUGAGCUUUUUCUUCCCCAUUAGGGAAGAUAAUAAUAGUGCCUCUCUUGUAUAAGAGUAUGAGGAGUAGUAAACACCCAAUUGAUGCAAACUACUAUUAUAAGUCUCUGGGGCAACUGGUUUGUUCAAAUGGCGUGAUUGUUAUGGUUUAUGUCACUGAUCAAAUUUCCCUUUUCACACUGGCUGCUAGGAAGUUCAACAUCAGUCUUGAACCAACCACAGCAAAUUUCAAAUGUGAUUUUUGUGAAUGGGUGGUAUUUAUGGAUCCAUUUAUUAUCAUUUGUUUCUUGCUCUACUAUUUGUGUGUGUAGCUCGAUCUAACUUACAUGUCCUCGAAGUUGCCUUUUAUCUUUCUAGUAAGAGAUCUGGUAUCUUGGAUGAGAAGAUUCUGCUCACAUGUGGCUAUUUCAUCUCCUUAGUGAGAUGGUGGGUUCCUCAAGAGCAGGGAUGGUCUCCAAGGCACUUUUUGACACUCCCCUCCCCCCACAGUUAAGCUGAGUGGAUGAGUUGAUGAAAUGUUAGAAGGCAAAGAACUCAAAUGUGCUCUCUGCCUUAGCCAUAGGAGAGGAAAUAGCUGACCCGAGAUAUCUCUGCUCUCUCAAAUGUCUGUAAAACUAAAGGUCAGUGACCAAUGUGCCAAUUUCCUGUGCUGCUUGGCCACAGACGUGUUAGAUCAGAGGGAGACUUUGUGGUGUGAGAGCUGCCUCACUGGCUGCUGGCAUGAGGAUUCAGACUCCAUUUUCUGGAGUAGGAGAGAUUGCACUGGCUCCCCCACCAACAUCUGUGUCAUCCUCUUCUUUUUGGAUGCACAUAAUGCAGAUCAUGUAUUUUAUAUCUUCUCAUGAAAAACUACACAUUUGGGCAACUCUGGGCCCCCAGUCCCACAUGGCAACCAUUGGUGCCCUCUUCCGAUGGGCAUAAAUUCUGGAGUGUUAUGCUGAUUCCCUGCUGCCGGCUCUACCUCAUCCUGCCUGACCCUGGGGGUGACUGAGGCUGAACCCUGGCUGAUGGUGAUAUUUAUGAUUCUGAGACCCAAGCCUCCUUUCUUGCCUCCCUGGAGGCCCUCUGCUAUCUCGUGCAAACUUGGAGGGCCCUCAUGCUCUUAGGGACCCUUGGUUUUCCCAUUUGUAAGUUGCAGUCCCCUCUGUGGCAACUUCAUCCCCCUUGGACGCCCAUCCUCACCCCACCCCAUUCACCCAAAUCUUUCCCAUUCUUUAGACUUGAACCAUCUCAUUCCCUCCGGAAGGGUAUGUUCAUGUGCCCUCAUGUUGUUCUGUAAUUAUUACCCGUGGUCCUGCCAUGUACCCAUUGACCUGCACACACCUGGGGCUCAGAACACAUUCAUGAAUGAGUGAGUGGGAGGGUGAACCAAUACACAAGCAAGUAGAUUCAAGUUGUCUGAACUCACAUGGGCCCAAGAAGCACAACCCAAAUUUGAAAGCAGGACUCAGAAUCCUGUGCUCACCUAUAAUAUCACUCGGCCAGGGUCUGGACCACCCACUGUCCUCCUAUCUCUGCAGAGCUAAGCUUUGCCCACAGAGCCACUGUGAGCCUGGCCACCCUCACCAAGCUGACGUCCAGGGGAGGAGGACAUCCCAGCACUAAGACCAUCA